rnacentral:lncRNA from 1 species
GCGGGUCCCAGCUGACGGAAGGUGGGGGAGGAGUGCGAGGGUCUCUGAGACAGGUUGGGAGCCAGCCCCACCUCCAUUUCCAAAGCGGGGGUCCAGGCACAGGAACAGCCAAACGCCCGAACCAGCGGGGUUACCUUUGCCACUUCAUCCAAUCCGAGCAUCGGCUGACAAGUUUAUUUAAUCCCUGAACCUGGAUCCAAGGCAUCUCCCUGUAGAAAACAUCAGACCGGGGCAGAGAUUGACAAAGCAACCCAAAGCAGCAGCUGCCAACGGCCGCUGUGCCCACCUCAUCAGCAGCUAAAGAGUAUAAUUUUAAAAAAAGUCACAGAAGAAUGUGGAGACACUUAGCAAAACGGACUCUCAUAAGGAACUUCCAUUUUCUCAACAACUGCUCUUCCAAGAUGCUGCCUCAUUUCAGAGCCAUGUUUUACUCAUGAGCUGGUCCUGUCCAGAAAACAGCCAAUGCUCAUUCCCGACACUUUCUUGUCACUGCUCUUUUCUGUUCCCUAUUUUGUCAGUAAGGAAGUAAACAACCGCUAAAACAACCCUCUAACAACAGAAGACCCUCAUGAGAACACCAGGCAGCAGAAGCUUCUUUAGCAGUAAAAGAUAUCUGGAUAUUCAUAUUUUGUUCCAUGAUCUUCAACAUUAAAUAAAUAAACUUAAUAU